rnacentral:misc_RNA from 1 species
GAUGAAGAACGUAGCGAAAUGCGAUAACUAAUGUGAAUUACAGAAUUCCGUGAAUCAUCGAGUCUUUGAACGCACAUUGCGCCCCCUGGUAUUCCGGGGGGCAUGCCUGUCCGAGCGUCAUUGCUGCCCAUCAAGCACGGCUUGUGUGUUGGGUCCUCGUCCCCCCCGGGGGACGUGCCCGAAAGGCAGCGGCGGCACCGCGUCCGGUCCUCGAGCGUAUGGGGCUUUGUCACCCGCUCUGCAGGCCCGGCCGGCGCUGGCCGACGCGAAAGCAACCAUUUUUUCUCCAGGUUGACCUCGGAUCAGGUAGGGAUACCCGCUGAACUUAAGCAUAUCAAUAAGCGGAGGA